rnacentral:tRNA from 1 species
GCUUAGUUGGUAAAGCACAAGGCUCUUAACCGUGUGGACGUGGAUUCAAGCCCCAU